rnacentral:siRNA from 1 species
UACUCCUGUAAUGGAUGUAGGUUG